rnacentral:rRNA from 1 species
CAAUAGCGUAUAUUAAAGUUGUUGCGGUUAAAAGCUCGUAGUUGGAUUUCUGUCGAGGGCGGGCGGUCCGCACUAUGUGCGUGUAUCUUGUUCGGUCUUGGCAUCCUCUCGCAAGACUACUCUGCGCUUGAUUGCGUGGAUAGGAUUACGGGACUUUUACUUUGAGGAAAUUAGAGUGUUCACGGCAGGCUAUCGCCAGGAUACAUUAGCAUGGAAUAAUACUAUAGGAUCUUGAUCCUAUUUUGUUGGUUUCUAGGAGCAAGAUAAUGAUUAAUAGGGACAAUUGGGGGCAUUCGUAUCAACACGUCAGAGGUGGAAUUCUUGGAUUGUGUUGCGACGAACUACUGCGAAAGCAUUUGCCAAGGAUGUUUUCAUUGAUCAAGAACGAAAGUUAGGGGAUCGAAGACGAUCAGAUACCAU